GGUGUGUGUGUUUUUAUACAAGUGAAAUCGAAUCUACUAGACAUUUGGUAUUCCACCAAAGCUGGUAAUAAUAUAUAGGAGCAAGAAUUUGAGCUCAGCUUGAUGCCUAUUGGAUGAGCUACUGACUGAGAUUGAGCUUAUCAAGUUGCUGUAUAGCAAAAAAGUUCCCUGAACAUCUACAUUGCCUUGUUCCAGAACUGUAAAAUUUUUUAAGGUUAUUAUAGUGUAAAACAUCCAAGCUACUAAGGGUAAGCAUUGGCUCAAUGGUAAAGUAUCUUCUUUGUGACUGGAAAGUCAUGGUUUCCUUUCAUGGAAACCCUUUGCAUAAAAAGGGGGAAGGCUGCAUAAAACAACCCUCCCUAGACUCUUGCAAAGUGGGAAGCCAUGUGCAUUGGAGGUGCCAUUAUUAGUGAAAAUCAUGUAUUCCUUUGAAAUUUGGGCAGUGGUCAACAAAAAGCACUAAUUACAUUGACCACCAUAACAUCAGCCUAUACUUGACUAGACUAGACAAGCAAACUUAUUCAUAACAGUUGACAACUCUUGCUAUUUCAUUUCCUUUUGAUGUGGGAUUUAUGAGUUCAAAAUCAGUUUAAUUGACAUUAACAAUGCCUUAUAGGUAUGGCAUUGAUUUGCCUCAAAGAAAGCCAUUCUGCAUUGAAAGGUUGAAUGAUUCCAAGAUCCUCUGUCAGCAUCAUAUGACCCAACCUAUUAGAAGCCUCACUCUUGUGAGCUUGUGGACUCAAAUUCAUUUUUGGUCUUAUUUGUGAGGCUUGAGUUCUGCUUGUUUGACUUUUGAGUCUUUCCUAGUUGAGCAAAGCAUGAGGUUAACCUGAGCCUAAACUGUUUGUGGGUAGUUCUGUUCAUUUGCUGCCCUGAUCACUAGGAAUUGUGUUAAUACAAGACAUUUUACCUUCUUGGUUGGGCAGGCAAAGCU
rnacentral:misc_RNA from 1 species